UUGAAACAUCUGUUCUUGUAUGAUCACCGAAGUUAAGCAGCCUCGUGCUUGGUCAGUACCUAGAUCGGUGACCGCUUUGAAAUACCAGAUGCUGUCA